rnacentral:rRNA from 1 species
UGGGGAAUUUUGGACAAUGGGGGCAACCCUGAUCCAGCAAUGCCGCGUGAGUGAAGAAGGCCUUCGGGUUGUAAAGCUCUUUUGUCAGGGAAGAAACGGUAGUAGCGAAUAACUAUUACUAAUGACGGUACCUGAAGAAUAAGCACCGGCUAACUACGUGCCAGCAGCCGCGGUAAUACGUAGGGUGCAAGCGUUAAUCGGAAUUACUGGGCGUAAAGCGUGCGCAGGCGGUUGUGUAAGUCAGAUGUGAAAUCCCCGGGCUCAACCUGGGAAUCGCAUUUGAGACUGCACGGCUAGAGUGUGUCAGAGGGGGGUAGAAUUCCACGUGUAGCAGUGAAAUGCGUAGAUAUGUGGAGGAAUACCGAUGGCGAAGGCAGCCCCCUGGGAUAACACUGACGCUCAUGCACGAAAGCGUGGGGAGCAAACAGGAUUAGAUACCCCCGUAGUCCCUGAGCGGGCUGGCAAGGCGCAU